rnacentral:rRNA from 1 species
GACGAACGCUGGCGGCGUGCUUAACACAUGCAAGUCGAACGGAAAGGCCCUGCUUUUGUGGGGGGCUCGAGUGGCGAACGGGUGAGUAACACGUGAGUAACCUGCCCUUGACUUUGGGAUAACUUCAGGAAACUGGGGCUAAUACCGGAUAGGAGCUCCUGCUGCAUGGUGGGGGUUGGAAAGUUUCGGCGGUUGGGGAUGGACUCGCGGCUUAUCAGCUUGUGGGUGGGGGAGUGGCUUACCAAGGCUUUGACGGGUAGCCGGCCUGAGAGGGUGACCGGCCACAUUGGGACUGAGAUACGGCCCAGACUCCUACGGGAGGCAGCAGUGGGGAAUAUUGCACAAUGGGCGGAAGCCUGAUGCAGCAACGCCGCGUGCGGGAUGACGGCCUUCGGGUUGUAAACCGCUUUCGCCUGUGACGAGGCGUGAGUGACGGUAAUGGGUAAAGAAGCACCGGCUAACUACGUG